GUUGCUUCACUUGCUUGGUGAUGGUGAUUCUGCCAUCAGCAUAGUGUUUCAAAGUUUCAAUCUGUUUCAAUCAUUGAAUUGUUUAUUUGUAACUUAGUGAGAUUGUCUAAUAGAUGGGCAAACGUUGACUUCUGUUUCUCCAUUACCUCAUCUGUGCUACUCACGUCCCGUUAUCCCCUUUUACGUGGUUGAAACAAAGUGCUAAAUUAAAUCAAGGAAAUGUUUGAAACAUGUGUCUGUGCCCAGAUCACAUUCAAAUUGGUGAAAGAAGAGAGCCAUAGAUUGUUUCACCUGCAUUGGAUUUUUCAAUCUCCUUGCUAGAACAAAAUGAGUGCUGCUAGACGAUUUUGUUCUGUGUGUCAUUAUUAGGUCCAAAUAAAAACACCACUUAUCUCUAACACAACAAGUUUUUCAUGUAAAGUGUGACUGUUGAAGUUACUUCGGCCAAUGCUUCUGCUUGUGAAGAAUCCAGCAAUGCAGAAAAAAGUAUUAAUGAAGUGAACUAUUCAGUGACAGCACCACCUACCUUACUAAACGGCCAGAUGAAAUUUCUGCCUAAAAUUAGAAGAAUUCCAAAUCUCUAGUCGAUGUGGACUGACAUAGAAGAUUAUUGAGUCACGAGCAUCUUUACGUCAAUGGCGCGAAUGCUGCUUCAUUGCAAAACAUUCAUUGCAGUUUAUGAUAGUGUUCAUCAAGUGGUGGUGUACUCCAUACCAAACAAAAAGCGUGCAGCAAAUUUCCAAAAGCAAAUAAGGGUGUACAGCUAUUUUAAUUCUUGCCUGAAUGAAAAAUAUGCGGCUUUUUUCAGUAAAUGACAAAAACCAAGAUUCUAUUUUAUUGGUUAUCAUCACAGAUUAUCUGUAAGUUAUGUUAUUAGCGCCACAAAAAAGAAACGUUUAACAGUAACAUGAAAAAAAUGUCCGCUCUUGCUCGUUGACACCAUGGUUGACACUCAAUUGCAAGAAUAACUAACAAUCAAAGACCUUGAUACUCACAUAAUAUUCUCCCCUUCCAAUUUGUAUCUCGUCUUCACCUAAAACCGCAGCAUCACAGCAGAUCACAACAGACGAAAUCCUCUCAUUGCUUCUACAAUGAGGGGAAGGCAGCAUGACAUUCGCUUUUGUGUCUCAUCUGUUAGUGAUUUCAGAUUGUUGACGAAAUAUUGUCGAACUAACUCUACGUAUCACCCUUUUAGCUUUAGUCCUGUCAUUCUGCACUGUGCUUUACCUGUGAUUAAUCUUUCUUUUCUUCUAAUUAGGUUUUGAUGGCCAUUGGUGAAGAGAACAGCAUAGGAAUGCGUCAGCUUUGUCUGGGUCUGGGCUAAAUGCCCUACUAGAUAGAAUCCUCUUGCGAAACUUCGCCUGCUCCUAAGUUACACAAUACACCUCUUAAGCUACUUCCAAAAAGCAAAAAAAAUUUAUAUUAGGAUUUUGAGUUUAUUUUCAGGUGGGAGAUCCAUUUGCUUGUCUAUCAAAUAAUUUGAGAUCACAACAAGGUCUGAGCUUCACUGCUGUCAUGCAGAUGGUUUCAUUGCAGCCACCCGGUGAAAAGGGAGUUCAAGUUGAGCUGCAGCUGCUGCAAGCAGUCUGUAGCGGUGAUGUCAUCCUGAAGUGUUGUUAAUGUGGCAGUCUAGGCUGAAGCUAAUUAAAGUGUGCUGUUCAAGUCUUAUCACAGACGUCAAGCACAUUGAUAACAAAUUAUGAACAGGGGUCUAAACUACAUGUUUCUAAAUUUGCAUACCAGACUUUAUGAGAAGUCAUAUCGUUUGAAGAAGAAGGACGAUGACUACACAGUCGCCAAGGUCUCUUGUUUGAAAACCCGUUGGCUGCUACCUGUGAAUCUUCCUUUUUACUUCCUUUAACGGGCCCUCUUAAUUGAGGGUAACUCUUCGCUUCUGAUCUUCCACUGGACCCGACUUCAUCCAUUGGUGAAAGCUGACGAGAGAAUGAUGUAAUUCAAGACUGAUUAAUUGUGUAGUUGUUAGAUUACAUUACGAGUGCAUUUCUGGGCUCCCUUCUUUUCUGUGGCCCCGUUUCCCUAUCUAACUACUAACCAACGCCCGCCGGUGGUCACUCACUUGCUGUGAAACCAGGAGGAGGGGAGGGCUCUGGUCGAACGGGGACUUGGAAGGCGCAUGAUCUGAGGGUCAUGAGUCUAACACGGAAGUCUAGUAUGACUAAUUCGCUCCCCAGUAAAACUUGCCUCGCACUCUUCUCUCCUCUUCCAUUUCCAGGUAAUCU